rnacentral:tRNA from 1 species
GGAGCUGUGGUGCAGAGGCCUAGCACGCCAGCCUGUCACGCUGGAGAUCGCGGGUUCGAAUCCCGUCAGCUCCGCCA